rnacentral:rRNA from 1 species
GACGAACGCUGGCGGCGUGCUUAACACAUGCAAGUCGAGCGGUAAGGCCCUUUCGGGGGUACGACGAGCGGCGAACGGGUGAGUAACACGUGGGUGACCUGCCCUCAGCUCUGGGAUAAGCCUGGGAAACUGGGUCUAAUACUGGAUAUGACUCCACGGUGCAUGUCGUGGGGUGGAAAGCCUUGUGCGGCUGAGGAUGGGCCCGCGGCCUAUCAGCUUGUUGGUGGGGUGAUGGCCUACCAAGGCGACGACGGGUAGCCGGCCUGAGAGGGCGACCGGCCACACUGGGACUGAGACACGGCCCAGACUCCUACGGGAGGCAGCAGUGGGGAAUCUUGCGCAAUGGGCGAAAGCCUGACGCAGCGACGCCGCGUGAGGGAUGACGGCCUGG